GACGAACGCUGGCGGCGUGCCUAAUACAUGCAAGUCGGGCGAACAGACGAGGAGCUUGCUCCUCUGUCGUUAGCGGCGGACGGGUGAGUAACACGUGGAUAACCUACCUAUAAGACUGGGAUCACUUCGGGAAACCGGCGCUAAUACCGGAUAAUAUAUUGAACCGCAUGGUUCAAUAGUGAAAGACGGUUUUGCUGUCACUUAUAGAUGGAUCCGCGCGGCAUUAGCUGGUAGGUAAGGUCACGGCUUAUCAAGGCAACGAUGCGUAGCCGAGCUGUGAGGGUGAUCGGCGACACGGGAGCGUGACCGCGGUCCUGGCGCCUGCGGUAGGGAGCAGUAGGGUAUCGGCCGCAGUAGUCGGGAACCUUACGGAACGACGGCACGUGUGUGGUAGAGGUGUUGGGUGCGGAAUACUCUGUUAUUAGUGAAGAACAAAUUUGUAAGUAGCUAUGCACGGCUUGACGGUACCUGAUCAGAAAGCCACGGCUAACUACGUG
rnacentral:rRNA from 1 species